rnacentral:sRNA from 1 species
CUUCGUGUCGACCGCGGUCGCUCUGUAUGCGAGUAAAUGACACAACAACGGAUCUCUUGGUUCCAGCAUCGAUGAAGAACGCAGCGAAAUGCGAUAAGUAAUGUGAAUUGCAGAAUUCAGUGAAUCAUCGAAUCUUUGAACGCACAUUGCGCCCUCUGGUAUUCCGGGGGGCAUGCCUGUUCGAGCGUCAUUUCACCACUCAAGCCUGGCUUGGUAUUGGGCGUCGCGGUGCCGCGCGCCUUAAAGUCUUCCGGCUGAGCUGUCCGUCUCUAAGCGUUGUGGCAACUAUUCGCUUCGGAGGCCGGGCGGCCGCGGCCGUUAAAUCUUUCACAAGG